AUGCGUCAGCCGCCCGGUUUUGUUGAUCCUGCUCAGCCACAUCAUUUGUGUCGUCUUGUCAAAGCUCUUUAUGGUCUGAAGCAGGCCCCUCGUGUGUCGCAUGCACGUCUUGGCGCUGCUCUUCAUGCUCAUGGGUUUGUGCCUUCUGCAGCGGACACAUCUUUGUUUAUCCUUCAGCGACCGGAGGUGACUAUGUACAUUCUGGUCUAUGUUGAUGACAUCAUCGUUGUUAGCUCGUCUACUAAUGCUACGGAUCGGCUGGUGUCCUCUCUUGGUGCUGAGUUUGCUGUUAAGGAUCUUGGGAGACUGCAUUAUUUUUUGGGUCUCGAGGUUCUUCAUUCUGAUGGUUGCUUGACUCUUACUCAGAAGAAGUACUCCCAGGAUCUCCUCCAUCGUGCAGGUAUGUUGCAGUGCAAGCCUGCUACGACUCCCAUGUCUGUCACGGACAAACUAAUUGCUCUUGCUGGUGACUUGCUUUCUCCUGAGGAUGCCACUGAGUAUCGCAGCAUUGUUGGUGGACUGCAAUACUUGCUCAUCACUCGACCAGACAUAUCGUUUGCAGUGAACCGUUUGUGCCAGUAUCUUCAUGCGCCGCGUGAUUCUCACUGGUCCACUGUUAAGCGCAUCUUGCGCUAUGUUCGUCACACUGGUUCAUAUGAUCUUCAUCUUCAGUCGGCGCCUUCUGGACUGAUCUCCGCAUUUUCUGAUGCCGACUGGGCUGGUAGUCCUGAUGACAGGUGA
rnacentral:rRNA from 1 species